rnacentral:rRNA from 1 species
UACAGAGGGGGCAAGCGUUGUUCGGAAUUACUGGGCGUAAAGGGCGCGUAGGCGGCCCGCUAAGUCGAACGUGAAAUCCCCCGAGCUCAACUCGGGAACUGCGUCCGAUACUGGUGGGCUUGAAUCCGGGAGAGGGAUGCGGAAUUCCAGGUGUAGCGGUGAAAUGCGUAGAUAUCGGGAGGAACACCUGUGGCGAAGGCGGCCCCCCUGGUUGGAUACUGACGCUGAUACGCGAAAGCGUGGGGGAGCAAACAGG